UUCCCCGGCUGUGGGAGGGUUUAUCCAAAGGCUGCCUAGUCCUUGAAAUCCGUCUGGGCCUCGGCGAGCUCCUCAGUGUCCCCCCGAGCUGUCCCGGGCCAUGCAGUAGCUGCGGGCAGGAGACGUGGGGAGAGGACAAGCAGAUACCUUAACGAGCCACCGAGCAGAAUCGCAGUCGGAACUCAUUGGACAGGGAAGGGCCGGUGUGGGACAGAGAUGGGACGGCCGAGCUGUGCUGUGUCGCUCAGCCAAGGGACCGCAGCGAGGGCCAGCCCCAGCAGAGGCGGGGAGAAGCCACACCAGCACUAGCUCGCCAUUGCUUCUUGUCUCCUUGCGGGCUCUGCUUCUCUGUUCGUUACCCCAAGGCAUGAACAAGGUGAGGUGUUCUGUCAUCUAGCAUUUGAGUAUGUUGUCUGGUGUCCAGUCCUGAAUGUGUGGCAACUACUCCUAUUGUUCAGAACAAAGCUCUGUGGCUUAUGCUACUGGAUUUGAUCAUGGGCUUGACCAUAUGCGGGAGCAGAUGCUAAGGAAAAGAGUCUUGGAGGCUUCAGCAAUAUUCCUUCUCCAUGCUUGCUGACACAAAAGCUGUGGAAGACAGUGAAGGAAGGCAGCCAUGGCAAGGCACAUUUCACCCCCUUUGGAGAAACCGAGCAGGCCAACCCCUGGACCCUUCACCUGGAAGAGAGGAGGAAAUGCUCAUCAGUGCUGAGAUGAAAAGCACAACAGCUGGUUCAUGGAGGGGAAGAUUGUCGAAUGCUGAGAGUUUGCAAAACAACGUGAA